rnacentral:rRNA from 1 species
GAUGAACGCUGGCGGCGUGCCUAAUACAUGCAAGUCGAGCGAACGGACGAGAAGCUUGCUUUUCUGAUGUUAGCGGCGGACGGGUGAGUAACACGUGGAUAACCUACCUAUAAGACUGGGAUAACUUCGGGAAACCGGAGCUAAUACCGGAUAAUAUUUUGAACCGCAUGGUUCAAAAGUGAAAGACGGUCUUGCUGUCACUUAUAGAUGGAUCCGCGCUGCAUUAGCUAGUUGGUAAGGUAACGGCUUACCAAGGCAACGAUGCAUAGCCGACCUGAGAGGGUGAUCGGCCACACACGAACAGAGACACGCGCCACAGACCUCCAGGAGGCGGAAGAAGAGAAACUUCCGCGCUGGGCGAGAAACUGACGGGGCGAAGCGGCGCGAGAGUUGAGAAUCUUCGGAUCUUGAAACUCUGUGAUUAGGGAAGAACAUAUGUGUAAGUAACUGUGCACAUCUUGACGGUACCUAAUCAGAAAGCCACGGCUAACUACGUG